CGAGAAAGUCGCAGAGGUACCAAAAGUGGGCGCGGGGCCGGAGGAGCCGCGGCGGCCGCCCCCGCCCCCGAGCACCGCACGGCCCGGCCCGGCCCGUCGGGGCGGAGGCGCGACCCCACGCCUGGCAGCGCCGAGCGAGCGGCCCUCCCCUGCGCGCUAUAAAAGCCGCCUCCAGAAAGAGAGGAAAGUCGGCGGGAGAAGAGCAUCGCGGCGCGGUGCCGUUGCUCUCAGGUACGGGCAUGACAUCCGUCCUCGGCGGCAGCAGGGCGUCGGGAGGGCCGAGCGGGCAGCUGAAAUGCAAGUCCAAGAGGAGGAGGAGGAGGAGAUCGAAGAGGAAAGAAAAGAAAGAAAGAUUGAGAGCAGAGUCAAGAUGAAGAGAAUAGGAGCCUGAUCCUGCUUUGUCACGUGGGAAUCCCUCUUUUUCAGGAGGACUGGGCCCUGCUGCUUAUGGGACCUUCAUCCCAUGAGUGGCCAUUCUCCCAUGGGUGGUCACAUUGUCUUCAUUGAUCUCAGUGGUAAUUUUUAUAUGGGUUAGGGUCAUGACAACUGGCACUGACAGUAAUACAUCACCGCCAAAUUAGAAUUUCUAAAAGAAAACAAGCAAGUUAAAAUUGCACGUUCAGGAAAGUACUUUAUUUACUUCCUACAUUACAGCAACAGAAUUUAACAUUACAGGAGGUUUAAAAAUACAUUUGCAUAACACCGAAGUUAUCAGUCUAGACUCCCCAUCUGUUGAAUGCCUCGUUAGUGAGUAGCUGUAGCACUUCGGUAUUUCACUUAAACAUCAUGAAAAAAAUGGUAAUAAUUUCUCUAUGCUAUUCUGCUACUAAUGAAACUUCAAAGCCAUGAAUGCAUAUGUUUAUAUUCAAUCUCUAUUUAUAUACUUAAACACAGACACUAGCACUAUGCAUAUUAAUGUGCCAAUAUGUGCUCCAGCAAUGCGUACAUUAACUUACAUGCAUAUUCAUAUAAAGGGUUGAGCUUGAUGGAAGCUUGGUCCUAAGCUUCAUACAGACCUUGAAUCAAACCCUUAGUUUUUAAUAAGGUAGGGCCAAAUUUAAUGGGGCCAAAUUUCCAGGAAUUCGUUUGGAUCAUUGUUGCUUUUGUAUUUGUUUUUUCUUAAGCAUAAGUUUUGCAUACAGGUGUUCUUCUGUUGACUCUGUAGUGCUUCCACACUCUCUUGUCCAUUCUCCUUUGUCUCUGUUGUUUUCAGUGUGUUUUAAUCAUGCAUUGUAAUCCCCUAUGCCGUUAUAACUGAUUAAUUAGCAGCCCCUCCGAUUCGGGCUCUGAAUCGUUCUCUUAUGCUCAGAUCAUUUAUAACUUUAGCUGAAAAGACAAGUUUGAACAUCUCCCUUGCAAUUCAUCUCUUUGCUUUGUGUAACUACCAUGAUUAUUGUUUAUUCUUUAUUAUGAGUGGGUUUUUCUAAGGAUGAAAUGUUAACUCUCUGUUAUCUUGGCUCUUAACCUGCAAUUAAAUCCCAUCAAAUAGGCUGAUAGGAAAUAAUGUAAAGUCAGAGAAUCCACUACUCAUGUUUCUUUGUAGGUUUGGGGACUUCAAAUGUCCAUUUUUUCUCCAAAGAUUAACUUAAGGAAACUGCAACUAGAAGAAUUGAAUGACAAAUCAAUUAUUUUGCAGAGCUUUCAUUUGCUUAUAAUCUCAAAUUUUCUUUACAGAUAUGUGGGAUAGAAGCAUGCCUGUAUUUGUAUAUGCGUGAAGAGUAAACAAAUCUGACAUUUUCCUUGAACAUUAGGAUGACAAAAUCUAUGGUUUUCAGAAAAUCACAUGGCAGGACCUGCAUGUGUACCAGUAGCCUUGGCUGCAGCAGUUGCAGAGCUGGACAGUCCAGGGGAAGCGCUGUGUCCCAGGAGGAUGGGCUGGGCAGGAGCUGGUGGUUCAGGUAACACGCAAGGGGACAGAGGGCAGUGGCAACAAAGCUGAAACUCGUGUCCUUAACAAAGAGAUUGCAGGCUGCAGGACUUCUGGUGGCAGAGAAGAUCUGUCCUCCUCAGAAGUUCCUACCUGAACUUCCCUCAACUCUUUGUCCAGAUUUCCUUGUGAAGUCCAAUGCUCAGAGCUUGUGAAGGAAGCACUUUUCUCCAUUACAUUUGCCCUAUGCGUAUUUUUUGAAGCAGAUGGGGUCAAGAUAUCAAGAGAUUGAAGGGGGAUCAAAUACCCAUUUGCCACUAGCUACUUCAAGCAUGAAACCAUGAGAGCACAGCAUGAAGGAAUAGCAGAGGAGAAAUUUUGCCAAGGCAGUGUUUUUCAGGACAGAUAGAAUAGUGAAGGAUAAAAUACUUCAUUGCUCCUCCCACCUACUGUCCCAGUCACCCUGUCAAGCACCAGCUAGCAGCACAAAGAUUUAUUUCUCUAGAAGGAACUGGUUGUCUCCAAGUGUCACACAAUUUAUGCAGCAAUUACCUGUUCACUUUCUACUGCAGUUAAUGCCCAUGUGGACUCAUUCUCUGAGUCCAAAGAUCUGCAUUCUCUUCAGCCCAAACAGAGCCAAAGAGAGAUACUGAGACUGUCCUGAACAUAGAAUCACAGAAUAUCCUGAGGGUAGGAACCCACAAAGAUCUCGAAGCCCAACCCAUGGCUCCACACAGCACUGUCCGAAAAUCAGACCAUACGUCUGAGAGCUUUGAUCUCCACCAGAAAAGGGAUGGCCUGCAGGGACAGGGUGGUGAUUGUCUCUCUACUCUGCCCUUGUGAGGCCCCAUCUGGAGUACUUCGUCCAGGUCUGGGGGCCCCAGUACAGGAAAGGUGUGGAGCUGUUGGUGCGGGUCCAGUGGUGGGCCACGAAGAUGAUCAGACAUCUGGAGCACCUCUCCUAUGAAGACAGGCUGAGGGAGCUGGGCUUGUUCAGCCUGGAGAAGGCUGAGAGGAGACCUCAUUGCAUCCUUUCAGUAUUUAAAAAGGGAUUAUAAAUAGGAAGGGAAUCAACUUUUUACUCAGAUAGGUAGUGAUAGGACAAGGGGGAAUGGUUUUAAGCUCAAGGAGGGAAGGUUUAGGUUAGAUGUCAGGGGGAAGAUCUUCACAGAGAGAGUGCUGAGGUGCUGGCACAGGCUUCCCAGACAGGCUGUGGAUGCCCCAUCCAUGGAGGUGUUCAAGACCAGGUUGAAUGGAGCCCUGGGCAACCUGGUCUAGUACCAGAUCUGGAGGUUGCGGGCCCUGACUGUGGCAGAGGAGUUGGAACUUGAUGAUCCUUGGGGUCACUUCCAACCCACACCACUCUAUGAUUCUACGAUUCUAAAGAUAUUUGUGUAAUAUAAAUUUAAGAAGAAAGAAAACAGCAUCUGAUUUUUUUAAAAACUUCUUUUAUUUUUUUUCUUUCACAACUCUGUGAUUACCCAUGAGCUUUUAGAGAACUAUAUUAAAAAAAUAUAUUUUCAAACAUGAAUAAGAAAAAGCAUGUGCAUAGAGCUUCAUUUCAACUAGAAGGAGAAAUGUGAGGUGCCUUUCUGGAGCUGUGAUUCCAAUUUGCUGGCUUCCCAAAGAGCACAGAACAAGUGUGUCUGUGACCAAUGGAGCCCAUGAAGCAUUUUAAGACUGUCUCUAGCACUCGUUUCAUUCUCCAGGAAGAAUUAAUCUGAAAUAUUCCAGCAUACCUUUCUGGAGAUACAGCACAUUUCUCUACUGAUUACCUCUGUUUGCUGUUUGUUUUUGUAGAGAUCUCCUCACUUUCAGAUAUUUAAUCACUUACUUACAGCCUCAUAGUGCCCAGAUACACACUUCUAUUCUCAGCCUCUGCUAUGUUGGUUGGUCCCCUCAGCUGCUGUCAUAGAAUCAUAUAAUCUUUAGAGUUGGAAGGGACCUUUAAAGGCCAUCUAGACCACCUCCCCUGCAAUGAACAGGGACAUGCACAGCUAGAUCAGGUUGCCCAGGGCCUGAUCCAGCCUGGCCUUGAAAGUCUCCGCAGACGGGGCAUCAACCACAUCUCUAGACAACCUGCUCCAGUGCCUCACUACCCUCACUAUAAAAGACUUUUUCCUCAUAUCUAACCUAAAUCUAUACUCUCUGAACUUGAAGUCAUUUCCCUUUGUUCUGUCACCACAGAUCCUGCUAAAGAGUCUGUCCUCUUCUUUUCUGUAGCUUCCCUCUAGCUAUUGAAAGGCCGCUAUCAGGUCACCUCGGAGCCUUCUCUUCUCCAGGCUGAGUAGCACCAGCUCUCUCAGCCUGUUCUUGAAGGAGAGGUGUUCCAUUCCUUGGAUCAUUUUUGUCUCUUUCCUCUGGACAAGUUCCAAGAGUUCUAUGUUUCUCCUGUACUGAGGAUUCCACAUUUGGAUGCAGUACUCCAGGUGAGGCCUCACAAGCACAGAGAGACAGGAUCACCUCCCUUGGCCUGCUGGCCACGCUUCAUUUGAUGCAGUCCAGGAUACAGUUGGCUUUCUGGGCUACAAGGGUACAUUGCUGGCUCACGUCCAGCUUCCAAUCCACCAGUACCCUCAGAUCUUUUUCAGCAGGACUGCACUCAAUCCUUUAAUCCCCCAGCUUGUGUUGGUAGUGAGACUGUGCCUUGACCCAGGUGCAAGAUCUUGCAUGUAGAUUUGUUGAACCUCAUAAGGUUCACCUGUGCUCACUGCUCAAGCCUGUCUAGGUCCCUUUGGAUGGCCUCUCAUCUCUCUGCUGACUGUGCUGUUGACUGUGUUGACUGUGUUUGGGCAGCAGUGUAUCAGGAAGGAGCUGUUGACUGAUGCAACUCAGGCUAAAUUUAAGGGCAACAAAAUAUUUCUUUAGAACCCAUAAUGUCUCAAGAGUUGAUGGUGCUUGAGAGAGAUGAGCUGCUGAAAUGUUAAUGUGGUCAUGAGAUGGUGCAAAUACAGCUAGUCUCUUGCUGUGCUCUCACUUGCACAUGGAGUGAUUACAGAUGUGCUGCUAGCUGAGGAGCCCUGCAGCUGUUUACCCUCUUUCUUCUGGUGGUAUAAUGGGGGCAAGGUGGCCUAGUGGUGCUCCCAGCCCUAUCAGCAUGAAGCAUAUGUGUUUAGCCUGGUGUUCUUAUGGGGCUUGGGGGCAGGUUCUCACACCUACAAAAUAGAUUUCUAAUAAGGGAAGUUCUAUUUUGAAAUCAGUAGUGCUGAAAUUAACUUUUCCUUUAUUACUAGGACAUAUUUUAAGUCCCAAUUCACAUCUCAUGGAAGUGCAUUCCUCCCACAGCUAUGCUGGGUGUACUGAGGGCAGGGUGUUACAAUUUCCAGAAAAAGAUGUUACUCAAGAUCUUGAAUAUUUACAUCCUUUGCCUUUUAUAAAAUGCAUCCUCUUGUUGUAGACCUAUAUGUGGUUUAAAAGCGGUGAAAAAGUAUGAAAAGCUACGCUUUAUUUUCCUGUCACUUGAUCUUCGUUUUUAAUUUGGUUGUGUGAAAGUGAUCUUUGCUUAAAUGUAUAUGCUGCAAAUUGCAAAAUAAUAAUAAUAAUAAUAAUAAUAAUAAUAAUAAUGUCUACAGUAUAGUCCAAAAUUGCUCUAAAAUUAAUUUAGGUCUUUAUUUUCUGCAAUCUUCUCUUGAGCUACCCAUGGGUAGCUGAAGAUAUGUAUGUCCUGCUGUCUUCAGUGGUCAGUGUGAGGUAGAAACUAGCUAUAUACUUGGAUUACUUGCUCACUGAAGCACAUAAAGCUACUGUUCAUGGUGGUAAGAUCAGCCAAAACUUUAUUUCUGGGAGCCCUGACAUGCACCAAGGACAGUGUCUGGCCUUUGGAGAGGGCUCCAAGAACUGGGUCAGUGCUGGUGACUUUGAAGAAAGGAGUUUCGUAGGACUCUACUCAUUAAAAAACCCUGCUGGUGCAAAAUUUAGCAAAAUAUCAAGCUAAAUGAUGAACUUGAAUGAGGACAGGAGUUUAUUUACUCCAGGAACACAGCAACAGUUCUUAUUAGUGCUGAUGCUGUGGGCAGAGGCAGCUUGCAGCUGCAUGCUGGACCUCAUCUUUCCUUGCUGCAAGUGCACACUUGUGACUGUUUUCAUCGUCUGCUUUCAGAUGUCACUGUCCCCAAUAGAAUAUUUAUGGUGUUCAAGCUGUACUAACAAGUAAGCAGAGUGUGUCCCUGCAUCACUUAUUCCCCGGAGCUACUUUGACAUACCAAGGUGGGAUAAUGGCACAAGUCAGCAUGGCAGGAGCUGCCCUUUGCCACCCUAUGUGGGCGACCAAGGUUUCCUCAUGCUCAUAAAACUAGAUGAUAUUUGAGGUCCUUUUCAACCCAGGCCAUUCUAUGAUUCUAUGAUUCUGUGAAAAUUCUGUUUUGUCAUAAAACAGGGAUGGAAUUAUAUAUCAAAUAAAACUUCAAGUUAUUAUUUUAUUUAAAAUAAUGAUAAAGCCAAUUAUUCUGGCAGUAUGUUGCACAUACAGUUGUGACCAACUCAAUAACUGUUUGCUUGAAAAAGAAAAAUAAAGCCAUGUAUAGAAUGUGGGAAAGAUGUUUUGUACUUUGACAUGAAUAACACAAAAAUAAAUGAGACAUUUAGAAAAUGCAAAUCAUAUCUGUUCUUUGUUUUAAUCUACCAUACUGGGAGUUUGGAAAAGAUAAGAUUAGAGAAUGAUCCAUGAGAAGUAUCGUUGGUAUACUGAAUACUUCAAAUCACCAAGGACUCUUUCAUUUAAAAUAAAACCAUCACCAAAAGGCUGUAUCAAUAUAUGAAUGGAGAAGAAUCAGAUAUUUCUGCCACUGCAAAAAGUUAAUAAAGCAAGUCAUUAGCAUUAGUGCAACUUGCUUCUCUUUCCAAUUUACAGCCACAUAUCUAGAUUAACUGUAAAAUAUUCCUAGGUUUAGGACACACUGUCCUCCAUUGAAUGCUUAGCAGGAAAAGGUUAUUAACAUUGAAUGGGGACUGUUCUCUCAGGAGAGCUGCAGAUAAAAUGACCAGGGAAAGAAAUAGCACAACUUCUCAAAUUAGCAUAAUUAGUAAUUAUCUCUUAAUAGCCCCACUUGGCUUUGGAGACUUGGCACUUGAAAUUCCGCUUAAAGUUUAGUGAGGAAAAACAAAUUUCACGCUGAAAUGUCUCAAUAACACAGCUGAGCUGCUGAGGUAAUCGUCUGGUUUAGGUAAAGGAAAGGAGAUGAACAUAUGGAUAGCGAAAAUCUUUCCUGUAAGCACUGUGUUUGUGUUUGCAUAUGCAAAGCACUCGAGGCUUAACGGUACGAUUGCGACUUUCUCUGGGGCUGUGGAGAGGGCAAGAGGAUGAGAGAGACUUUUCCCCUUUAAUGGAUAAACAGGUGAAGAUAAUAAACUAUGAUUCUAAAACGAGGAAAUCCCAUCCAUUUUGCACUAGAAUUGUGUGAACUCUUUUGCAGAUCUAGCUGAAAUAAAAACCCCGGGACAAACAAGCCUCAGGGUGGAUAUAACAGCAGCCUUUACAGUAGCCAGUGGCAGAACUGAAACCUUCCCCCAAAUGGGAAAAGUUCUCUAACACUUCACUCCAGGCAAAAUCAGAUGAAUGAGCAAGGAGCCCAGUAACCCUAAUUUUUUUCUUUAUGUGGCAAGGAAACAGAUGGCUCUCUUUAAAUGCUUUUGGCUGAGAAAGAACAAAAGAGGGAGAUAAAUACUUACAUUUUUUUUACCUACCUAAAACUGAGUCCUUUGUCCACCGGCAGAAAGCAAUUUUAUCAGCCCAUCCUGAUCAGAGCAAGCCUUUGUUAUUGAGAAGGCACUUUCUGAUUUACAUGUUGCACAGCUGGUUGGAAGCUUUCCACCAGGAAACAAACAUACAAUUGAUAAACCUUCCUGAACUAGUUUUAAACAGGAAAGGAGGUUGUUUCACUCCACCCCCUUCUGACAAAAAAAUAAUUCAUGUUGGGGCCAACACAUCUGGAAUGGAUUGACCGAAGUGACUGUUUAGGGGCUUUUUAGUAGGACAGUGGAUUUUCUUUUAAGUGCUGUACAGUUACCGUGUAGGGAGUGCAGCAGCUCAUGCCAUGCAUGACCAAACCUGGGGCAGGAUCAGGCUCUGUAGAGAAGAGGCAGUUUUUACUCUGAAAAGCAGAGACCCUUUGCUGCUAAGUAACUCUCCUUUGGUCCCCUGUCAACACACAAAAUAGGAAAGAUGAAGAUAAACUAGUCCAAGGAGGUUGGCAGCUGUUAUAAAACUGAUAGGCUGACACACUCAUGGCCAGAGGAGGAAAAGAGUUGGCUUAGAAACUCUAAUUAAGGCUGGCCAAGGUCCAUUAGCUCGUCUUCAUGAGUAUCUCCGCAGCCUCACACUCUAUGUAUCAAACUUAUUAUACAGGUUCUAGGUGAGAAAUGUGAUUAAGCAGUCUGCUCUCCUGUGUUUCCAAGGCCCAGCCUCUGAAAGCAUUUCAAAUGCCUCUAUCAACCAAUAAAAUCCAUUUCAAAAUUCAAAAAGAGCAUGAAGGGAAAAAGGGAGAAGGGAGUAAAGAAGUGGAAGCAGAUCAAAAAAAGAUGAAAUGACAUUUGAAAAGUAUGGAAAUGAGGAGGAUAUUGAAACUGAAUUAAUUACAAAAUAUUCUAAAAGAUGCGGGAAUCCAGCAGAUCUGAUGUAAAUGUUUGCAAGCUGACUGAAAGCAGGGAGAUGGAGAGCAUUGCAAUGAAACAAGUACUUUCCUCCCUGUUCUCCCCCGUUUUCCUACUUCCGAAUAAGCACUUGACAAAUAAAUUAAGCUUGAGCACUAACAGUGGAGAGAGUACAAAAAAUAUUCUGAUGGACACCUGAGAUUUCUCUUGAUCGUCUGUACGUGGGCAGCUGCGGUGAAGAAAAUGCUACAAAAGAAAAAUGCCCACUCUUUGACAAGACUCUUUGUUGAGUGAUUGAUACGUUUCUGCCUUCCUCCUUCCCUAUAAUAUUGGGAAUGGGAGCUGCUACUUCGAGGCCAGAACUAUUAAAAAAUAAUCAUCUGUGAAUACUAGCUUGAUUUUUUUUCUUCAGAAUAUAUAGCUGGAGGUGGUGAGCGUUGAUUUUUCUUCGUACCCCAAACUGGAUACUUUAGGGUAGAUUUUUCUGAGUAACUCUUUGUCAUUAUGCUGUUAAACUUCAUAUGGAGAAAUAUAGGGGUUUCAGUAGGAUAGUCCUGCAUUUGUCUUGUUUGCUUGUAAAAUUCAUUAGAAAGGCAAUCUUGUUCAAUUUGAGAACCCCGGAUCUGAGUUUUGGCUCUGCUGCUGUCAUUUUUGUGACUCUGGCAAUCUGCUUGCAUCCCUUCUGCAUGGAGUCCAUGGGGACAGAGAGAAAACCUUCUUCAUUACUAUUUAUAAUCUCCGCAUACUGUGAGCUCUUUAGAGACCACUAAAAUAUUUCUGAAAUGAUGUGGUCCUGAUCUGAUUUUGGACCUCCUGAUUACUAUUGUAAAAGAAAAAGCAACUUUACUAAAUGGCAUUUUUAGGUAUAGAGGAAGCUGAGUCACCUGCAGGUGAACUUUCAAAGGCUACUUCUUUGACAUUUGAUCUUGCCUGACAGCAACUAAUUGUUUGACCUAAUUCUGCAGUGCUCGGCAAACCUUACUGAGGUGCAAAGAGCAUUUCUGUUCUGCUAAAACCAAUGAUAGACUGCUCAGCAAUUCCAUCAGGAUUGGACCUUUAAAAUUGGACAGAGCAAGGAAGAGGAGAAACAUGCAAAAUUACCUGAGCAGAAAAAUGCCUGAGGAUAGUUCUUUCUUUUAAAAAAUGUCAUUGGGUCAUACUGGCUUCAUGGGUAGCAUUUAAUUGUGUCAAGAUGAUGAUCUGUCACCUUGUACCAUUUUUUCUUUCCUUUUCCAAUUUUUGGAACCAUCAAUUUUAGCUAUUUCUUGAAUUGUUGGUAAUUCAGAACAGGGAGUGAAUAAGAACAUACUGUGCAUUACAUUUGUGUUACUUUCAAACAGAGUUAAGCAUAACCUGUAUAUACAGAUCAUGGUAAGGAAAUAUCAGUAAUUUUAAGUGGAAGAGUAAAUUGGACAACCUAACAGACCUAUAGGGCCUAUUCCUUCAUUUAAUAAAGUAGGUCAAUAUUUCAUGCUGUUCACAUUAAUGUCAUUCAUUUUAGCUUUACUAACAAAAGCUAGUGGCUGGUUAAGCGUUACUGGAACAUAAUAUCAGGAAAGACUUCAGAAAAAGAUAAAUGGGUAAAAAACAUAAUUAAAAAAUAAACCACAACAACAACAACAAAAAACACAACCUAAGCCAUAGGCCACUGGAAUGCAGCUAUAAAAUUUGUUAAGUUAUAUCAGCUAGCACCAUGGUUUUGAAAUCCCUGUGUGUAUUAAGACUAAAGUACAAAUGAACUGGCACAUGGAAAGAAAAAAUCCUGUGUACUUCUUUAGGUUCAGAUGAGCUAUUAAAUGCUUAGGAGAUACUAACUAUGAGCUUUGUGCAAUUCUGUCGUAAUUCCCGUUUAACUCUCAGGGAGGUUAUUAACUACUGGUGACUACCAUGGUCUGGCUCUGUCCUAUCCUAUGCUGUGCUGCUUUAGCUACAAAGUACUUGAGGGUUUGACUCCUAUCUGCUUUGUUAGGUAGGUAUCUGUCUCAGGGUAUGACUCGUAGCACAAGGGAUGUUGGGUGAUUAUUAUAAACGAUAGGGAGAACGUUAUUCUAUCUGUUGUUACUAGCACAUUAUCCGUUGUUAAACAGCUGUUUAGUGAAGGAAGUCAAAGGAGUACAUAAACACAAACAUAUUAAAUCCCUCUGGAUUCUUUUUCAUUUUUCUUCUACAUUUUUUUACAAAGUUAGAAUUAUUCUCAAAGCUAAGAAACUCUUUCUUUAGUAUUCCUCAUACAGAGGUUUGGAAAUUCAUAGAUGAUAGGAGAAGGAAUUGGGAUUCUUUUUAUUUGCUUCUCAGCUUUUGGUUAAGACAGACUGUGCUUUCAUACCUUUUCUGAAAGAAUAAAAAGCUUUCAAAACACUUCAUAAAGGGUGAAAACCUUGUUCUGUUUCACACAAAAAUAUAUAGAUUUCCUCCAUAACCUGCACCUUAAACCGCUGUCUUUUUCUCAGACUCUUCUUAAUACAUGAAAAAGACCAAUUUAACCUGUAUCUCAAGCCAGUUCAUGUUAAAAUUCAUUUCUUGUAUUGGAUCUAUUUUUACAUCAUUUGUGGAACAUUUGUCUUAAACUCUUCCCAUGGUCUUGUGCACGGUCUCCCUGUCAUUCUGUACAGGUUGCAUCUUGUCCCAUCUAGUAAUCUGGAAUAGCUGCGGGACAUGGGAAUCUUUUCUGCUGUUGUCUCCUUCAUCCCUUCAAUCUCUUCCAUUUCAUAAGCCAUUACAAUCUCAAACCUCAACCACAACAAAAAUAAUAAAGGUAAAAACCUAUGUACAUGAAGUAAUAAAAUCCACUAACGGGUAAAGAAAAUUGAGAGUUUUUAGCAUUUUUACACUCUUAACCUCUAAAAACAAUUUCAGGGCUUGCCUCAGAUUCUGAACCCAUGUGAACAGGGAGUACUUUUAGUACAGCAUACCUAAGGCUUUGCUAAAUUAUUUCCUAAAUUAAGAGGAAAAAAAUUUCAUUCUUUUAUAUUUGUCAAAGUAAAACAAAUUCC
rnacentral:lncRNA from 1 species